rnacentral:rRNA from 1 species
GACGUAGGGCGCGAGCGUUGUCCGGAUUUAUUGGGCGUAAAGAGCUCGUAGGCGGCUUGUCGCGUCGUCUGUGAAAUCCCGCGGCUCAACUGCGGGCUGGCAGUCGAUACGGGCAGGCUGGAGUUCGGUAGGGGAGACUGGAAUUCCUGGUGUAGCGGUGAAAUGCGCAGAUAUCAGGAGGAACACCAAUAGCGAAGGCAGCUCGCUGGUACGGCACUGACGCUGAGACGCGAAAGCGUGGGGAGCAAACAGG